GAUGAACGCUAGCUACAGGCUUAACACAUGCAAGUCGAGGGGCAGCAUGAGCUCAGUUAUUCUGGGUUUGAUGGCGACCGGCGCACGGGUGAGUAACGCGUAUCCAACCUGCCCUUUACGCGGGGAUAGCCUUCUGAAAGGAUGUUUAAUACCGCAUAAGCGCACGGUAUCGCAUGAUACAGUGUGAAAAACUCCGGUGGUAUAAGAUGGACCCGCGUCUGAUUAGCUUGUUGGUGAGGUAACGGCCCACCAAGGCGACGAUCAGUAGCCGGCCUGAGAGGGUGAACGGCCACAUUGGGACUGAGACACGGCCCAAACUCCUACGGGAGGCAGCAGUGGGGAAUAUUGCACAAUGGGGGAAACCCUGAUGCAGCGACGCCGCGUGAGUGAUGAAGUAUUUCGGUAUGUAAAACUCUAUCAGCAGGGAAGAUAAUGACGGUACCUGACUAAGAAGCACCGGCUAAAAUACGUAGCCAGCAGCCG
rnacentral:rRNA from 1 species